CGCUCGGGUUGUAUCAGUCCUGUGCUCUCCACCUGUGAAAGGGACAGCCAAGGACCUUUUGAAGAGCAGCACAGUGUGAAACCCAACUGGAGAGAUGAUUAGCAAUUACAGUGUGGCUGGCUUAGGUGCAGAAGGAGCUACUAGAAAGAAGGUAAUUUGGAAUAGGAAGCAGGGCACAGCCCUCAUGAUCAAGAACAACACCUGAUGCUCUGGGAAACAGUGAAAGCUGCCAGUGCGUAACCUAAAUACGGUUCAUGGGCUGUGGCACGGAGCAGAAGGACUCAGCUACAGAUCUUUGCCUCCAUGGAAAGUCACAUAAGGAGCACGCAGGCAUCACCUCAAACACCCUGCAACCCCAAGUGAUGGUAAUUAAUAAACCGUAAUUGUUUCCAA